rnacentral:lncRNA from 1 species
GCACUAUGCAGUCAUAUGGCUUGCGCAGAAGCCGCAUUGUGAAUACAAAAAAGAACAAAUGUUGCCAAUAGUAGGUACAUGCGGUAUUCAUAGCAUUUCACGUACAUCAUUUACAUUCGGGAUCUGGCUGCCAUUGGUUUUACCAGAAUUGUACAUAGACAAACAUAAAUAAAAAGAACAGCCCAACGGUAAUGUAAGAACUUGGAUAGUGUAUUGUUUCUUUGUGUUUUGGUUGCCGUCUGGUUUUGAUGGAUUCAAUGUGUUGAACUUAUAGGCCGGAGCACCGGUGGGCUCAGCCUAAUGAGGGGGGGAUGAUGGUUGGAGAGGAUAGGGGGGGGGGAGGAGCGGGUCCUGAACGAUCCUCGAGGCUUACUAGUCAUCGUUGUAGUUUUCCCACGGUUCCCACGUCUUAGUGAAUGAUUUUAUUGAGCCUCUUAUUUGGGCCAUUAAUUUGUCCAUGAGAUGACAGUCUUUGAUUUUGUUGAGCACUGUGGACAUUGGGUGGGGGAUAGGUUGCAGCCACGUUUGGGCUAGGGCUUUUCUGGCUGCUAGUGCUAUUUUGUUUAGCAAUUGUUGUUCUGGUCUGGGCCAGUCAUCUAGGGGUUUGGCUAACAGGAAUGUCCAUGGGUUUAGGUCUACCGGUCUGUGUAGGAGUUGUGUUAUUAGCUUUUGGAUGUCUUUCCAGAAGAGUUUAAUGGUGGGGCAGAACCACCACAUGUGGGGGUAUGUCCCUUUUUCUCCGCAGUUACGCCAACAGAGAUCUGUAGGUGUUUUUUUCAUGUGGUAGAAUUGGACCGGGGUAAUGUACCAUCUAAGCAUUGUUUUAUAUGCCUGUUCCUGCAUCGUGACGCAGAUGGAAGUUUUUGUGUUAGCUUCCCAUAUGUCCUGCCAGUCAAUUCCCUCUAAAGUUUCGCCUAGGUCUGAUUCCCAUUUGUCAGUGUAUUGGAGUUGUCCCCAUUCCCGUGUGGUGGAACAGAGGUGGGAGUAUAGUGUGGUGAUCAUGCCUUUUUGAUACCGUUAAGCAGGUGCGUUCAAAAAAGGUUGGACUGGUUGUAGCGGCGAUUUUCACCGUCGCUAGGGCCGCGUCAUUUUUAAGUUGUAGAUAUCUAAAGAAGUCGGCUGGCUUCAACGUUGUUCUGGACUGUAGGUCUGGGAAGGGAAUUAUCUUAUCUGCUGCAUAGAGUUGGUAUACUCUCUGAAGGCCAGCUUGCUCUAAGCCUUUAAAGUCCCAUGGUCUCAUGCCUGGUGUGAAGGCUCUAUUACGAUAUAUGGGGGUAAGUGGCGAUGUCAUAGUAGUCAGCCCGUAUUUAAGGGCGUAUUUGUCCCAUAAUUGAAUUGAGUUGGUAAUGCCCGGGCACGCCGUUCUCGGGAGUUGAUUUCAUCUUUAUUAUUAGUACUGCAGUUCCCGUCCCCUCCACUUAUUAUGUCCCUCAAUUGGUGCUUGGGAGAGUAUAAAAAAGACAUAAACAGAUUUAUGGAUCAUCCUCAUUGACUGUCUUUUCAAAUAUUUUUUUAUUGUUUUAUAAAACAUUUUAAAGAGAAAAAAAACAUGGGGAAGAGGUACAAAACAGAGAGAAAAAAAGGGAAGAAUUGGGUAAACAAUCAAGCAUGGGAACGUAGAUUAUAAGGCCAUAAAUAUACAUAAUGUAUUAUAGCAUUCCAUGUGUUGCAUCAGGAAGAAAAAAAAGUGUCCUAAUACUUAAAUCCAAAUCCAAGGAAAAUCCACAUUAGACAAAGUAUAAAGGCAUAGGCCCUAUGCUUCUAAGAAAAAAGAAAAAGAAAAGAAAAGGUCCAUAUGUACCCCAUGUAAAAUAAAAAUUUGGGGUAAAAAAGUGCAG